GUCAAGACAAGAAGAUCCAGAACAGUUAAGGCUGAAACAGAAGGCAAAGGAGAUGCAGCAACAGGAACUGGCACAAAUGAGACAGCGGGACGCCAACCUCACAGCACUAGCAGCGAUCGGGCCCAGGAAAAAGAGGAAAGUGGACUGUCCGGGGCCGGGCUCAGGAGCAGAGGCCUCCGUGGCACUCAGUAAGCAGCGGGCUCAGGGAGAGCGUCCUGGAUGGUCACCAUGCAGGUAAGAUGAGGAGGACACUUGGAACCAGGCAUUGGAUGCGAGCCCCACCCCAUGGGAGGGGGACGGGGGGAUGCUGGGCACCAGGGGGACCUGUGGGCCAGCUGGCCCUGGGCUUGUGCUUGGGGAGUGAAUGAUGGGUUCUGACCCCCAUGCACCCCUGUGGGCCCCUGGCAUCACUGGCCCCAUCCUUCACCCCUGCCAACCACGCUUGCCCUGUGCCUCUGAAGCUCCCCCACUAAGGGGGUGGAGUCUAAUUCCCUGCCCCUUGACUGUGGGUUCAGCCAUGUGACUUGCUUUG
rnacentral:lncRNA from 1 species